rnacentral:rRNA from 1 species
UACGUAGGAGGCAAGCGUUGUCCGGAUUUAUUGGGCGUAAAGAGCGUGUAGGCGGCCAAGCAGGUCCGCUGUGAAAACUCGAGGCUCAACCUCGAGACGUCGGUGGAAACCGUUUGGCUAGAGUCCGGAAGAGGAGAGUGGAAUUCCCGGUGUAGCGGUGAAAUGCGCAGAUAUCGGGAAGAACACCCGUGGCGAAGGCGGCUCUCUGGGACGGUACUGACGCUGAGACGCGAAAGCGUGGGGAGCGAACAGG